AUUGAACGCUGGCGGCAUGCCUUACACAUGCAAGUCGAACGGUAACGGGCCUUCGGGUGCCGACGAGUGGCGAACGGGUGAGUAAUGUAUCGGAACGUACCUUUCAGUGGGGGAUAACGUAGCGAAAGUUACGCUAAUACCGCAUAUUCUGUGAGCAGGAAAGCAGGGGAUCGCAAGACCUUGCGCUGAUUGAGCGGCCGAUAUCAGAUUAGCUAGUUGGUGAGGUAAAGGCUCACCAAGGCGACGAUCUGUAGCGGGUCUGAGAGGAUGAUCCGCCACACUGGAACUGAGACACGGUCCAGACUCCUACGGGAGGCAGCAGUGGGGAAUUUUGGACAAUGGGGGCAACCCUGAUCCAGCCAUGCCGCGUGAGGGAAGAAGGCCUUCGGGUUGUAAACCUCUGUCAUGGGGAAGAAGUAAGUGACGGUACCCCAAGAGGAAGCCCCUGCUAACUACGUG
rnacentral:rRNA from 1 species